CCUGCGUGACUGACAUAUAGAUCAUAAAAUAUUUCCAUACACCAAAUAUAGUUGAACUAUUGCAUAUAGUAUUAGAAAAAAAGACCAAAACUCAAAAACUUAACUUUGACCACUGAACCAUGAAAAUGAGGUCAAGGUCAGAUGACACCUGCCAGUUGGACAUGUACACCUUACAGUCCUUCCAUACACCGAAUAUACUAGACCUAUUGCUUAUAGUAUCUGAGAUAUGGACUUGACCACGAAAACUUAACCUUGUUCACUGAUCCAUGAAAUGAGGUCGAGGUCAAGUGAAAACUGUCUGAAGGGCAUGAGGACCUUGCAAGGUACGCACAUACCAAAUAUAGUUAUCCUAUUACUUAUAAUAAGAGAGAAUUUAACA